ACCGGAGACACGCACACGACAGGACGGACGUCAGGAGAAGAAGCAGCUUUGGGGCUCAGAGUGAAUUAAGUUGCCUCUCCUUUGGAAGCAAGAUUUCUAUAACUGGCAGCUGGUACCUUCAGGGCCUAGACACGUUGCUGGAUCUUUCUAAAUAGACCUACUGUUGCAUGCAAAAGAACAUCAAGAAAAUACUGAGGAAAAGAAAUCCUCAUUUGAUUAGAAUCCAACUGUUUGAAGUACAGCUGUGAACUAAGGAAAUGUAGUAAAGAGCUAAGAAGAAAAAAUUGAUCAAAAUAGUGAAGCUAUUGUAUGAUUAGACAGUGCAGCUCUAAUGGCUUGGCAUUACCAAGGAGACUGAAAGACAGUAAUACCCUGGAAAUGACAAUAAUAGCCUGGAAGUAGGUUAGCAUGUCAUGUUUGAUGGAGGCUUGCUAGCAACUCCACUAGGCAACAGCUGUUUUCAAGGGCAUGUGACAAGAAGAAACCUGCUUUAGUAAACAUGUACG